UACGGAGGGUGCGAGCGUUGUCCGGAAUCACUGGGCGUAAAGGGCGCGUAGGCGGCAUGCCAAGCGUGUGGUGAAAGCCCGGGGCUCAACCCCGGGUCGGCCGUGCGGACUGGCGUGCUCGAGCACUGUAGGGCGGGUGGAAUUCCGGGUGGUAGCGGUGGAAUGCGUAGAGAUCCGGAAGAACACCGGUGGCGAAGGCGGCCCGCUGGGCAGGAAGGCUCGCAAGAGCCGGCUGACGCUGAGGCGCGACAGCGUGGGGAGCAAACAGG
rnacentral:rRNA from 1 species